GGUAGCGCCCUCAGAAAUACCGCGUCGGUUGUGACCAAAACCAUAGCUGAGGGGCGUGGCCACACAUCCGAGCGGCCUAUGUGAGGCCCUAGGCGGGGCUGGAGGCCGCUUCAACAGUUAAGGCCCUGAUCUUGCAAAGAUGGAAAUUCUGGUGCAUAAGUCAAGCUUUCCUCGCUGUCUCUUAGGAUCAUACUCCUAAAGAUAAAGUGUACCGCUUCACCAAGAAAACCUGCUGGAGAACAUUUACCUUCCCUUUACUGCUUUUUAAUCCAACAUCGCAUCAGAAUCCACUGAAUGAACCACGUACAAUUCUGGCUACCAACAGAAUAAAGGUAGGAUCUAGACCUUUCAAAUCUAAAUAAAGACGGGGUUAAAAAAUAAAUGGGAGUGCUGGUAUUUGCAAUAAAAUUACUAAUAGAUACUUCAACUAGUAAUCUCUCCAUCAAAGAGCUAUCCCUGCCCUCUGCCACCUUUUAUAGUCUGCUAAUCCCAAUAAAUAGCUGUACAACAGUUAUUAAAUAUUUUGUGAGUAGCACCAUCAACCAAUGACUCACAAUUAAGAGUUUGAAUAGUGCCAAUGCAAAAUGCUGACUGUUGGGAAAAUACUCACUGUCAGCACCAAAUGGGUUACUUGGUACCAUGGGCAUUAGUACCCAAACUUCAUGAGCUGGCACAGAUCAAGAGAAUAUUUUAAAGCUGAGUAGGUUAGAGUCUGAUUUCCAGCUGGGUUGUGCACAGCAAUAUCUGUAUAGUACCAUAACAGGAAAUUCAUACCCACAUGGUAAGAAACAACAAGUUAGAAACAUAAAAAUACUCUCAGAAAUUUUGU